rnacentral:antisense_RNA from 1 species
UGAAGACAGCCGUCUCGCUAUGGUCCCCAAGCUGGUCUCCCAACUCCUGGCCACAAGGGAUCCUCCUGGCCAAAGAACUGCCUAUGCAGGUGUGAGCUACCGCCGCCGGCCCAGACUUAUUUUCUAACUGGGCUAGGGGAAAGGAUAGGGUCUGUGUGGAGCUACAGCUGCCUUCAGCCUUUU